rnacentral:misc_RNA from 1 species
AAGGAGUCUAACAUGUCUGCGAGUGUUUGGGUGUCAAACCCGAGCGCGUAAUGAAAGUGAUGGUUGGGAACCCUUCGCGGGGGGCACCGACGCCCGUGGCUGACCUUCUGUGACGCACACGAGGCAGAGCAUGCAUGUUGGGACCCGAAAGAUGGUGAACUAUGCCUGAAUAGGGUGAAGCCAGAGGAAACUCUGGUGGAGGCUCGUAGCGAUUCUGACGUGCAAAUCGAUCGUCAAAUUUGGGUAUAGGGGCGAAAGACUAAUCGAACCAUCUAGUAGCUGGUUCCUGC